rnacentral:rRNA from 1 species
UGGCUCAGGACGAACGCUGGCGGCGUGCCUAACACAUGCAAGUCGAGCGGGGACAUUGCGACGGAUUUGAAAUUUCGGAUGGAUAUGAAGAUGUAAUGUUCUAGCGGCGGACGGGUGAGUAACGCGUGAGCAACCUGUCCCUUACAGGGGGAUAACACAGCGAAAGUUGUACUAAUACCGCAUAAGACCACAGAGUGACAUCGCUUAGGGGUCAAAGGAGUAAUCCGGUAAGGGGUGGGCUCGCGUCCGAUUAGAUAGUUGGUGAGGUAACGGCCCACCAAGUCGACGAUCGGUAGCCGACCUGAGAGGGUGAUCGGCCACAUUGGGACUGAGACACGGCCCAAACUCCUACGGGAGGCAGCAGUGGGGAAUAUUGGGCAAAUGGGGGAAACCCUGACCCAGCAACGCCGCGUGAGGGAAGAAGGUUUUCGGAUCGUAAACCUCUGUCCUUGGUGAAGAGAAAGAGACGGUAGCCAAGGAGGAAGCCCCGGCUAACUACGUGCCAGCCGCCGC